rnacentral:lncRNA from 1 species
UGGGAGAUGAGUCAACACCAAGGGACGACCAGUCCUAAGCCCUGGACAUGGACCUGGGGGUGAGGACAGAAGGGGAUCAGGACCAGCCCUCUCAUCCUGCACACUGAGGCAUGGGUGAUCCCAGGAAGCCACUCACCAGGCACCAGGGUGGCUUCCUGGAGGAGAGGAUGCUGAAGCCGACCUCAAGAAGUGUCUGUGUUAGGUUUAAGGACUCACAAGACUUCUCUGGCUGGACUAAAGCUGUGCGACCUUGCCAUUGUACUUCUCCAAAGCUAGUGUCUUCACCGCUCUGCAAAAUAUGGCAAAGUCAACGGUAGCUCUCAUCACCACUGGUAGGUACUGUGGUGAUGUGGUGGGAAGGGGUGGAUCAAAUCAUGCACAAAAAACUUGAAGGUUGAUAAUCUAGGUAAGAGAAAAAGACAAGCCAAUAACAUGUUGUUAUCGGCAAAAGUUGAGAAAUACGCAAGGUGCCUGGAAGAAAGUAUCUGAGAUAGGCUCUAAGGCUCUAACGAAGUAGAAUGUCUAAGCAGGUCGCGGUGGCUCUCGCCUGUAAUCCCAGCAUUUUGGGAGGCCGAGGUGGGUGGAUCACUUGAGGUCAGGAGUUCGACACCAGCCUGGCAAACAUGGCGAAACCCAGUCUUUACUAAACAUACAAAAAUUUACCGGGCGUGGUGGCGCACGCCUGUGAUCCCAGCUUCUUGGGGUGGAGGUUGCAGGGAGCUGAGAACACACCACUGCACUCCAGCCUGGGUGACAGAGCAAGACUCCGUUUCAAAAAAAAAAGGAAGUAACCGUCUAGAUGGGAGUGAUAAGGACCAAGUAUCCCUGGGAGAAGAAAACAGCUCUGGUAGCAGAUCACUCAAGCCCGGGAGGUGUAGGCUGCAGUGAGCCGUGAUCACGCCACUGCACUCCGGCCUGGGUGACAGAAGAAGACCCUAUCUCCAAAAAAAAAAAAAAAAAAGAAAAGGCCCACCAAAGCCAAAUAGGCAGGAAUACAGAAAGGCCAGCAUUUCAGUUCUGUGCUCCUAAGCCUUUCAGAACACUGUGCUGUAGACAGAAGGGCUGGACAUAACCAUUCAAUGGGGGCAUCUCUUGCAACCUGCAAUAGCAAAAUCUCAGAGCUUGUGCCAGAAAGGUGCAGAUUGGCACAUUUAAAUCCCGGAUCUAUCACUUCUUGCCUGACCUUGAGCAAGUCACUUAAUCUUUGAACCCCAGCUUCCUGGUUUGCAAAGCAGGUUUAAUACCUAAUACACAGAACGUACCUGGGGGUCCUGGGGUCUAGAUCCUCUCUUCCAACUAGUUAACUCCAAAUGUGAGCCACUGGCUUUCCUACUUCAAAAGCCCUAAGGGCCAAUGGCUCAUGCCUGUAAGCUCAUGCCUGUAACAGUUUAAAUGUUAUGUCCGCACGCACCUCUGACAGGCUGAGGUGGGAGGAUCAUGUGAGGCCAGGAGUUCAAGGCCAGCCCGGGCAACACAGUGAGACCCCCAUCGCUACAAGAAAUUUAAAAAUUAGCUGAGUGUGGUGGUGCGCACCCGCAGUCCCAGGUGCUUGGGAGGCCGAGGUGAGAGGAUUGCUUGAGCCUAGGAGUUCGAGGCUGCAGUGAGCUAUGAUGGUGCCACUGUACUUCAGCCUGGGCAACAGAGACCCCAUCUCUUAAAA